rnacentral:RNase_P_RNA from 1 species
AAUUUCGAGCAGUCGCGGUUAGCCUAGAGCUAACUGAGGAAAGUCCACGCACACACAAGCUGAGAUUGCUUGUAGUGCCCGUAUUCAGCUCAAUAAGCUGGAGGAUAUAGUUUCUAUAUCACGGCGGAGAAAGUGCUAAGUCUUUGAUAUGCAUAAGUAUCCUGAAAGUGCCACAGUGACGAAGCAAGGUUGGAAACGACCUUGGUGGAACGAGGUAAACCCUGCGAGUGUGCAACCUAAAUUUGGUGGGGGCGUUUCGACCUAAGAAAAUGAACUAAAGGUCGGGUUAUUGCUAUUGCAAUAAAGAUAGAUGGCUGCUGAAGGUUGUUUUUUGCCAAGAGCAACUGGAACAGAACGUGGCUUAUAGAA